rnacentral:misc_RNA from 1 species
GAAAUGCGAUACUUGGUGUGAAUUGCAGAAUCCCGUGAACCAUCGAGUCUUUGAACGCAAGUUGCGCCCGAAGCCCUCGUGGCCAGGGCACGUCUGUCUGGGCGUCACGCACCGCGUCGCCCCCACCCCCCUCCGGAAGGCGGGGGGAUGGGGGCGGAGACUGGCCCCCCGUGUGCCCCGAGGCACGCGGCCGGCCCAAACGCAGACCCCGCGGCCGCUGGACGGCGCGACGAUCGGUGGAGUAGGCCCUACGCAUCCCGUCGCGCCCCGAGCGGCCCUCGGAGGCCAUGGUUGGUCGACCCCGAGAGAAUACCGUUGCGACCCCAGAUCAGGCGGGACCACCCGCUGAGUUUAA